rnacentral:rRNA from 1 species
AUGCAGAUUUUUGUGAAGACGCUCACCGGCAAGACCAUCACACUUGAGGUCGAGUCCUCUGACACAAUUGACAAUGUCAAGGCAAAGAUCCAGGAUAAGGAGGGUAUCCCGCCGGACCAGCAGCGACUCAUCUUUGCUGGCAAGCAACUCGAGGAUGGGCGGACACUAGCUGAUUACAACAUCCAGAAAGAGUCCACCCUCCACUUGGUUCUCCGUCUCCGUGGUGGCAUGCAGAUCUUUGUCAAGACCUUGACCGGCAAGACCAUCACCCUGAAGGUGGAAUCUUCAGACACCAUCGACAACGUGAAGGCGAAGAUCCAGGACAAGGAGGGCAUCCCCCCGGACCAGCAGCGCCUGAUCUUUGCCGGUAAGCAGCUUGAGGAUGGUCGCACACUGGCAGAUUACAACAUUCAGAAGGAGUCUACUCUCCACCUGGUGCUUCGCCUUCGUGGUGGCCAGUGA